GACGAACGCUGGCGGCGUGCUUAACACAUGCAAGUCGAACGGAAAGGCCCUGCUUGCAGGGUACUCGAGUGGCGAACGGGUGAGUAACACGUGGGUGAUCUGCCCUGCGCUUCGGGAUAAGCUUGGGAAACUGGGUCUAAUACCGGAUAGGAACCAUCUUUAGUGUGGUGGUUGGAAAGUUUUUUCGGUGUAGGAUGAGCUCGCGGCCUAUCAGCUUGUUGGUGGGGUAAUGGCCUACCAAGGCGGCGACGGGUAGCCGGCCUGAGAGGGUGUACGGCCACAUUGGGACUGAGAGACGGCCCAGACGCCUACGGGAGGCAGCAGUGGGGAAUAUUGCACAAUGGGCGCAAGCCUGAUGCAGCGACGCCGCGUGGGGGAUGAAGGCCUUCGGGUUGUAAACUCCUUUCGCUAGGGACGAAGCUUUUUGUGACGGUACCUAGAUAAGAAGCACCGGCUAACUACGUG
rnacentral:rRNA from 1 species